rnacentral:rRNA from 1 species
GAUGAACGCUGGCGGCGUGCUUAACACAUGCAAGUCGAACGGAAAGGCUCCUGCUUGCAGGGGUACUCGAGUGGCGAACGGGUGGGUAACACGUGGGUGAUCUGCCCUGCACUUCGGGAUAAGCCUGGGAAACUGGGUCUAAUACCGGAUAGGACGAUGGUUUGGAUGCCAUUGUGGAAAGUUUUUUCGGUGUGGGAUGAGCUCGCGGCCUAUCAGCUUGUUGGUGGGGUAAUGGCCUACCAAGGCGUCGACGGGUAGCCGGCCUGAGAGGGUGUACGGCCACAUUGGGACUGCGAUACGGCCCAGACUCCUACGGGAGGCAGCAGUGGGGAAUAUUGCACAAUGGGCGCAAGCCUGAUGCAGCGACGCCGCGUGGGGGAUGACGGCCUUCGGGUUGUAAACUCCUUUCGCUAGGGACGAAGCGCAAGUGACGGUACCUGGAGAAGAAGCACCGGCUAACUACGUG